CCUACGGGAGGCAGCAGUGAGGAAUAUUGGUCAAUGGACGAGAGUCUGAACCAGCCAAGUAGCGUGAAGGAUGACUGCCCUAUGUGUUGUAAACUUCUUUUAUAUGGUAAUAAAAUGUUCCACGUGUGUGAUUUUGUAUGUACCAUAUGAAUAAGGAUCAGCUAACUCCGUGCCAGCAGCCGCUGUAAUACGGAGGAUCCGAGCGUUAUCCGGAGUUAUUGGGUUUAAAGGGAGCGUAGGUGGAUUGUUAAGUCAGUUGUUAAAGUUUGCGGCUCAACCGUAAAAGUGCAGUUGAAACUGGCAGUCUCGAGUACAGUAGAGGUAGGCGGAAGGCGUGGUGUAGCGGUGAAAUGCUUAGAUAUCACGAAGAACUCCGAUUGCGAAGGCAGUUCACUGGACUGCAACUGACACUGAGGCUCGAAAGUGUGGGUAUCGAACAGGAUUAGAUACCCGAGUAGUC
rnacentral:rRNA from 1 species